AAGGGUAGAUGGCGCAGUAUUCUAGUCGGUAUGAGUAUUUCUGAAGGCGGGGCUAAAAAUCCGUCAAAGGGCACAUCGAUGAAGUUCCUGGUGCUGGCUUUCGACGCCCAGUUGGGGGCUGGUGCUGGGAGUUAAGAAGGAUGGGGCAACCUACAAAGGCAUGUAGGCAUUGACCCUACCUUCGUGGAGACCUGAGUUGUGUGGUCGGUCUCCGAAAGGAACCGGUUACGGCUCAGGGAAACCUGCACUCGAUACCGUGAGGGUGUUGCGUGCAGCGUAGCCUGCCUUGAGUGGUUUUGGUGGAGAGGCAUAAGUUUGUAUUACAAUAAUUUAACAAAACAAAGAUUGAAGGGCGCGCCCGUAAAAGUUUUGAAUCUGGCCUUAAAACCAAAACUGCAAAAGAGGCUAGGAAAUACCCAAUACCGUUGAGGAAAGCUCCUAGACUGUUCAUACCCAUGAGGUAUAUUGAGGAUUACAGUGCGGUCUAAGUGGCAAUCUAGCCCUGUUCUCGGUGACGGGACAGAAAGAGUUUUAAAGGGAAACCGCCUAGCUGGCGACAGCAGGUAGCUCUUUGGGAAAACCAGCUAGACCUUAAGCCGCAAAAUUUACUCAAUAUACUGCCAUCUACCCAU
rnacentral:sRNA from 1 species